GCAUUUCAUAUUGCAUUUCAUCAUGUCAAUCAGAAUUAGAUCCAAGAAACUUUUAAAGAAAAAAAAAACGAAAAAAAAUAAAAUAAAAUAUUUUUUACAAAAAAAUAAAUAAAUAAAAAAUAAAUAAUAAAAUAAAUAAAAUAAAAUAGAAAAAACUUGGACUUGGACCUCUCUCAUUUGAGCCCACAAAGCCAUGAAAAUCAGGUUAUAAAAGAAGGAGAUCAGAC
rnacentral:lncRNA from 1 species